GGGACGCGGGCGUGGGCCUGGGCCGCGGGGGCCUUUGGCCGGCCCAGGUCGGGCCGAGGGCAAAACAGCGCAGGCGGUUAGGGGGCUCGGGCGCGGGCGGUUCCCGACGCCGCCGCCGCUGCCACUCUCCUCGGUUCCGCCGCCGUCCGCCUCGCUCCUCUACCGCAGCCCGGUGGAGCGGAGGCCGGCGAGGAAGGAGCCGGCGGGGCGUGGGCCGGCGAGGCGCUGGCCAUGGGCGCGGCGGCCGCGGUUGCAGGGGCGGGCGCAGCGGGAGCCAGAGGCGCGGGUGGCGCGUCCGGCGUCGGGACGCCCACCAGCGGCGCGGGGCCAGCGGGGCCGAAGGCGGCGGCGCGAGGGCCGGUGUGGUAGACGGCAGGGGCACGGAGGCCGGCGCGGCAGAGGCCAGGGGCGCAGCGCCACGGGCGGCGCACGCGGGCGUGGUGCGGGCGGCGAGGCGCCCCCCGACGGGGCGAGGCCCACCGGCGGCUGCUUCUAGAACGGUUGAAAAGGCACCAAUACAUGGAUUGGUGUUUCAAACUUUUGCCUUCGCGUCCCAAGUUGACACGAACGGUUACAGUAACUUCCUGCUAAUAUCUAACUAAUUGAUCAUAUAUUAUUCUUAACAAAAUUGAUACUGGAAAACAAAGUUCGGUAGACUGAACUUGGAGUUGGAUUAAGCUCGCUUGUUUUACAAUAUACGAGCUGUGCCACUUGUACCCCAACCAAAGUUCCAAUAAAAUGGUAAGUUCCUCUCA